CCCAUGGCUCAGAUUGAACGCUGGCGGCAGGCCUAACACAUGCAAGUCGAGCGGAUGACAGGAGCUUGCUCCUGAAUUCAGCGGCGGACGGGUGAGUAAUGCCUAGGAAUCUGCCUGGUAGUGGGGGACAACGUUUCGAAAGGAACGCUAAUACCGCAUACGUCCUACGGGAGAAAGCAGGGGACCUUCGGGCCUUGCGCUAUCAGAUGAGCCUAGGUCGGAUUAGCUAGUUGGUGAGGUAAUGGCUCACCAAGGCGACGAUCCGUAACUGGUCUGAGAGGAUGAUCAGUCACACUGGAACUGAGACACGGUCCAGACUCCUACGGGAGGCAGCAGUGGGGAAUAUUGGACAAUGGGCGAAAGCCUGAUCCAGCCAUGCCGCGUGUGUGAAGAAGGUCUUCGGAUUGUAAAGCACUUUAAGUUGGGAGGAAGGGCAGUAACUUAAUACGUUGCCGUCUUGACGUUACCGACAGAAUAAGCACCGGCUAA
rnacentral:rRNA from 1 species